rnacentral:rRNA from 1 species
GAGUUUGAUCAUGGCUCAGGAUGAACGCUGGCGGCGUGCUUAACACAUGCAAGUCGAACGAACCUUCGGGUUAGUGGCGGACGGGUGAGUAACGCGUGGGAAUCUGCCCUCAGGAGGGGGAUAACGGUUGGAAACGACCGCUAAUACCCCAUAUGCCGAGAGGUGAAAUGAAUUUCGCCUGAGGAUGAGCCCGCGUCUGAUUAGCUUGUUGGUGAGGUAAAAGCUCACCAAGGCUUCGAUCAGUAGCUGGUCUGAGAGGAUGAUCAGCCACACUGGGACUGAGACACGGCCCAGACUCCUACGGGAGGCAGCAGUGGGGAAUUUUCCGCAAUGGACGAAAGUCUGACGGAGCAACGCCGCGUGAGGGACGAAGGCCUCUGGGCUGUAAACCUCUUUUCUCAAGGAAGAAGAUAUGACGGUACUUGAGGAAUAAGCCACGGCUAAUUCCGUGCCAGCAGCCGCGGUAAUACGGGAGUGGCAAGCGUUAUCCGGAAUUAUUGGGCGUAAAGCGUCCGCAGGCGGCCUUUCAAGUCUGCUGUUAAAGCGUGGAGCUUAACUCCAUCAUGGCAGUGGAAACUGAUUGGCUUGAGUAUGGUAGGGGUAGAGGGAAUUCCCGGUGUAGCGGUGAAAUGCGUAGAUAUCGGGAAGAACACCAGUGGCGAAGGCGCUCUACUGGGCCAUUACUGACGCUCAUGGACGAAAGCCAGGGGAGCGAAAGGGAUUAGAUACCCCUGUAGUCCUGGCCGUAAACGAUGAACACUAGGUGUCGGGGGAAUCGACCCCUUCGGUGUCGUAGCUAACGCGUUAAGUGUUCCGCCUGGGGAGUACGCACGCAAGUGUGAAACUCAAAGGAAUUGACGGGGGCCCGCACAAGCGGUGGAGUAUGUGGUUUAAUUCGAUGCAACGCGAAGAACCUUACCAGGGCUUGACAUCCUGCGAACCUUUAAGAAAUUAGAGGGUGCCUUCGGGAACGCAGUGACAGGUGGUGCAUGGCUGUCGUCAGCUCGUGUCGUGAGAUGUUGGGUUAAGUCCCGCAACGAGCGCAACCCACGUUUUUAGUUGCCAGCAUUUAGUUGGGCACUCUAGAAAGACCGCCGGUGAUAAACCGGAGGAAGGUGUGGAUGACGUCAAGUCAUCAUGCCCCUUACGUCCUGGGCUACACACGUACUACAAUGCUACGGACAAAGGGCAGCAAACUCGCGAGAGCUAGCAAAUCCCAUAAACCGUGGCUCAGUUCAGAUCGUAGGCUGCAACUCGCCUACGUGAAGUAGGAAUCGCUAGUAAUCGCAGGUCAGCAUACUGCGGUGAAUACGUUCCCGGGCCUUGUACACACCGCCCGUCACACCAUGGAAGUUGGCCACGCCCGAAGUCGUUACUUUAACCCUUGUGGAGAAGGACGCCGAAGGUGGGGCUGAUGACUGGGGUGAAGUCGUAACAAGGUAACC